rnacentral:rRNA from 1 species
GUCGAACGCUGAAGCUUGGUGCUUGCACUGGGUGGAUGAGUGGCGAACGGGUGAGUAAUACGUGAGUAACCUGCCCUUGACUCUGGGAUAAGCCUGGGAAACUGGGUCUAAUACUGGAUACGACAUGUCACCGCAUGGUGGCGUGUGGAAAGGGUUUUACUGGUUUUGGAUGGGCUCACGGCCUAUCAGCUUGUUGGUGGGGUAAUGGCUCACCAAGGCGACGACGGGUAGCCGGCCUGAGAGGGUGACCGGCCACACUGGGACUGAGACACGGCCCAGACUCCUACGGGAGGCAGCAGUGGGGAAUAUUGCACAAUGGGCGAAAGCCUGAUGCAGCGACGCCGCGUGAGGGAUGACGGCCUUCGGGUUGUAAACCUCUUUCAGCACGGAAGAAGCGAAAGUGACGGUACGUGCAGAAGAAGCGCCGGCUAACUACGUGCCAGCAGCCGCGGUAAUACGUAGGGCGCAAGCGUUGUCCGGAAUUAUUGGGCGUAAAGAGCUCGUAGGCGGUUUGUCGCGUCUGCUGUGAAAGCCCGGGGCUUAACCCCGGGUGUGCAGUGGGUACGGGCAGACUUGAGUGCAGUAGGGGAGACUGGAAUUCCUGGUGUAGCGGUGAAAUG